UACGUAGGGGUCGAGCGUUGUCCGGAGUUACUGGGCGUAAAGCGUGCGCAGGCGGCUCAUCGCGCUCGGCGUGAAAGCCCCCGGCCCAACCGGGGAGGGUCGUCGAGGACGGGUGAGCUUGAGGGUAUCAGGGGUUGGUGGAAUUCCCGGUGUAGUGGUGAAAUGCGUAGAGAUCGGGAGGAACACCCGUGGCGAAGGCGGCCAACUGGGAUACACCUGACGCUGAGGCACGAAGGCGUGGGGAGCGAACGGG
rnacentral:rRNA from 1 species